GGCAGCCCCGUCUGUGUCCGCGUGAAGACCUACCAGGACUCUAGCGCAAAGGUAACCAUAAACGGGCACACGCUGCAUUUUCCGCCAAGCGACACCUUUACGCUG
rnacentral:lncRNA from 1 species